rnacentral:rRNA from 1 species
CAGUCGCCGCGGGAAUACGGAGGGUGCAAGCGUUAAUCGGAAUUACUGGGCGUAAAGCGCACGCAGGCGGUCUGACAAGUCAGAUGUGAAAUCCCCGGGCUUAACCUGGGAACUGCAUUUGAAACUGUCAGGCUGGAGUCUUGUAGAGGGGGGUGGAAUUCCAGGUGUAGCGGUGAAAUGCGUAGAGAUCUGGAGGAAUACCGGUGGCGAAGGCGGCCCCCUGGACAAAGACUGACGCUCAGGUGCGAAAGCGUGGGGAGCAAACAGGAUUAGAUACCCGCGUAGUCCCUGUCUCUUAUAA